rnacentral:tRNA from 1 species
UCUAUUUAGGCGUUAUGCGUCAAGCUUAGGACUUGGAGGAGAUUAAUAUCAAAUAGGA